UUGUUUUAAAAAACAAUUGAAAACAAUAAAACAAUAAAUAAAAGCAAACCAUAAAACACUAAAACAAAAACAGAGUCUCAUGCGGAGUUAAAAGCCAGGGAGUAGAAAUGGGUUUUAAGAUUGGUUUUAAAAAUGGACAGUGAGGAGGCUUGUCUAAUGUGCAAUGGUAGCUCAUUCCAUAGUUUUGGAGCAGCAAUGGAAAAAGCUCCGUCCCCACUGAGCUUUUCUUUGGACCUCGGUACCUCCACGAGCAGCAGGUCAGGUGACCUGAGGAACCGAGCAGGAACAUAAUGUUGCAGGAGCUCAGAGAGGUAAGGGGGAGCGAGACCAUUUAAUAACUUAAAAACAAAUAAAAGAAUCUUAAAAUGGACUCUAAAAUGCACAGGCAGCCAGUGGAGGGAGGCCAGGAUGGGAGUUAUGUGGUCCCUUUUACAUGCUCCA